rnacentral:lncRNA from 1 species
UUAUCAUAUACUUAGAAUAAAUAACAUAUGAUUUUUACCGUAUGAUAAUAGCAUUAAAUUAAAGUAUAUUCCAUAUUUUUCGAAUUGGUGCUUAGCGGGCUGAAAUGAAAUGUUUAUCACAUGCUUCGAUUGUUAUCACAUGCCUUUCCGUAACGUUAUCACAUGGCAUUCCGGUGAUACUCGGCAAAUUCCGGAAAAUACACAUCAAUGCUACGAUUUCAGUGAAAAACUUUACAAAGUAGUGUGCAAAACAAUUAUUUGAAUACUGGAAAGUAAAUUGUG